AUACGGAGGGUGCAAGCGUUAUUCGGAAUCACUGGGCGUAAAGGACGCGUAGGCGGGUUGGCAAGUCAGAUGUGAAAUCCUACAGCUUAACUGUAGAACUGCAUUUGAAACUGCUAACCUAGAGUAUGGGAGGGGGAGAUGGAAUUAGUGGUGUAGGGGUAAAAUCCGUAGAUAUCACUAGGAAUACCGAUAGCGAAGGCGAUCUCCUGGAACAUAACUGACGCUAAGGCGUGAAAGCGUGGGGAGCAAACAGGAUUAGAAACCCUAGUAGUCC
rnacentral:rRNA from 1 species